GUCCACGCCCUAAACGAUGAAUACUCGCUGUUAGCGAUAUACAGUUAGCGGCUAAGCGAAAGCGUUAAGUAUUCCACCUGGGGAGUACGCCCGCAAGGGUGAAACUCAAAGGAAUUGACGGGGGCCCGCACAAGCGGAGGAGCAUGUGGUUUAAUUCGAUGAUACGCGAGGAACCUUACCCGGGCUUGAAAGUUAGUGAAGUUACCAGAGAUGGUAGCGUCCGCAAGGACACGAAACUAGGUGCUGCAUGGCUGUCGU
rnacentral:rRNA from 1 species